CUUUAUUCUUACUGUAAAGAGGAGGUUCUACAGAUAUUUUAAAAUGUGUGGUUUUGCAAAAAACCAAAAAGAAUAUUCAUGGACAUAUAAGUAUAUUAUAGGAUACAUUGGAUUGCCAUUAUGGAGUCAAGAUGGAUUUUGCCCCCCUUUAGUGGCAUAAUUGGAUAUGGCUACAAUUGGGUGUUGCCUUCUUUUGUAUCAACAGCAUAGAAGAAUGAGUUUCAACGUUGAACUUAAGGAUUUUUAUUUUUUAUUUUUUAAAUCAGAUUAUGCAACAAGUAACCUUCACUUCAAAGCACUUUAAAAUAUGGUAUAAAAAGAAAAAAAAUUCAAACAAGAAAUAGCUAGCCCAUAAACAUCGCAUAAUGUACAAAUUGCUCUUUGAGCAAGCAGUUAUAAUUAUGUAAACUGGCAAUUUGUUUUUAGUUUAUUCAUUCAUCCUUUAUAUACGAUGCUUGGGAAACAAAGAGCUUUAGACCAUAUACAGCAGUAUGCGAACUGUCAAAUUAUACACCACUAGCUAUGUGUAAAAAUAAACAAUUACUAGCAUGCUUGAAAGGUCUAAGUUACACUCACCAGGGCUAAAUUUACCCUUGCUAAAGGCUAGCAGCAAGUAGAAAUUUCUCAUACUUGUAAGAUAAUUGAUGCUGUACACAUUUCACAGAGUCUGAAAUUUUACUAUAAACGCAAAAAAAAAACAAAAAAAAAACACUUCUACUUGUAAGGAUCCUGAAAAUAUUACUAGCAGUACAGCCAACAUAAAAUUAAAAAGAAUAUAUGCACUUAAGCAUAAUGUCCACAUAUAGUAAACACCAAUUAAUAAUAUAUUUCUAAAAUUUAGGUAUUUGGAAAGCUAACAGAUCAUUUCCAUUAACUUCUCCCCAUUCCUGACUGUAAUAAUGGUAAGACCCUUUGAAACUUCCUUUAUUGCUUGGAAGGGUGGUAGCAGCUUAUAUUUCCAGCAUAGCUGCAGACAUUAAAUGAGUGGAAUGGACUUAUGUUGGUGAAGGGUGUUCCUGUACAGCAGGGGUGGGGAAUCUUAUCUGCAAAUGGCCAUUUGGAUAUUUAAAAACAUAAUUUGCAGGCCAUACAAAAUUAUUAACUUAAAAAUUAGCCUGAUGUAUUUGGUCAAUCAUUUAAUUAACUAUAAUCCACAUAUGCCACGUGUCAGUACAAAUGGAGACCCAAACAGACGUGUUAAUAAGCUUGAUCAUAUUAUACUUCUGUACACGCAGUUUUUAUUAAAGACGUGUUUUAUACACUAUGUUCUUUUGUUUAAAGAGACACUCCGGACCCCUAAGCUUGCUAAAUGCGUAACUUGUAUCCCAACUUCCUGGUUUGGUUAGCUCAGUGGAGCUUAACUCAAGAGGCAGACAAUUGCCCAGUCUACCUGACUUACUUAGUGAGCUGCUUUGGGAAGUCUGAUUGGACAACCACAGCCUGGGCGGGGUUAGAGAAGGGAUUGCAAAGGCAGGAGACAAGAACUGAAACUUUUAAAAACUGUUUUCAUAAAUACACCCAAUGAAAAUGUGCAUAAUUUAAAUGCAUAUUUUCAUUUGGAGUGAGUAUUACUAAAAACUUUAAAAAUUUGGGCAAUGAAGUGUCCCUUUAAGUACAGCGUGGUGAAAACCGGAUAGGUGCAGGAAAGUAAUCCCCCAGGUGAGAGAGAUGCACACUAUUUUUCAUUAAGAGUGCAUAACUUAGUUGCUAUGAACAACUUUUUUUAUUAUGUAUUUUGUCUGUAGAUAUUGAUUUGCAUUGAAUAUUUGGGAGAAAUCUUUAUAUGAAGCUGACUAAUCAAAUAAUAGUAGGGUCAAUCUUCCUAUACCAAGGACUUGUUCUGUGUGGUUUCAUCACACUUUAUUUUCGUUAACCUUGUAUUUUAACCACAAGGCUUAUCUGGAAGCAUAUACUGCCGGACAGCCAGCACGAUUCAUUUAGCAACACCAUCAUGUUUUAGUUUAAUCUUACACCUAACUUCAGGGGGUUACAAUUUACACUUUAUUUUUUAAUUCCCACAGUGAUCAUUCACUGCAUGCACUUUUGGGGAAAACAAACCAUUUAAGGAUCCAUCUGGGCUUAGUUUAUAGUUAUUAAAAUACAAAACCCUAGGAACACAGUUUAUGGUUGAUGUGACCUGAAACUAUUGUUUGUUAUGCUUAUUUGCCAUGAAGUACAGGUAUUCUCUUGAAUAUGAACGCCCUCUUAC